CUCUGUUCUCUGAUUGCACUGAGUGUUAAUGCACUGAGGGAGUGCAUCCUGCAGGCUUGGAUCGAUUGCUGUGAAAGUCAUUGGCUCCUGGUGAACUUCACAACUGGGAUUCCUGCUCUCAGCAUUCGUGAGGUUGCCGGUGCAUUCGUUUACCUCCAGAGGGCACUCACAAGGGCAUUCACAUUCAUUCUGCUCCAUUCUGUGGCAGUUCAGACACAGCCUGUCCACCAUGCUGC
rnacentral:lncRNA from 1 species